AGUGAACGCUGGCGGUAGGCCUAACACAUGCAAGUCGAACGGCAGCACAGUAAGAGCUUGCUCUUACGGGUGGCGAGUGGCAGACGGGUGAGGAAUACAUCGGAAUCUACUUUUUCGUGGGGGAUAACGUAGGGAAACUUAUGCUAAUACCGCAUACGACCUACGGGUGAAAGCAGGGGAUCUUCGGACCUUGCGCGAUUGAAUGAGCCGAUGUCGGAUUAGCUAGUUGGCGGGGUAAAGGCCCACCAAGGCGACGAUCCGUAGCUGGUCUGAGAGGAUGAUCAGCCACACUGGAACUGAGACACGGUCCAGACUCCUACGGGAGGCAGCAGUGGGGAAUAUUGGACAAUGGGCGCAAGCCUGAUCCAGCCAUACCGCGUGGGUGAAGAAGGCCUUCGGGUUGUAAAGCCCUUUUGUUAGGAAAGAAAAGCAGCAGGUUAAUACCCCGCUGUUCUGACGGUACCCAAAGAAUAAGCACCGGCUAACUUCGUG
rnacentral:rRNA from 1 species